AGACGUACAUACUCUGUUCCUGCUCCUUUGUCUCUUGUCUAUAUAGACACGAAUCAUAAGUUGAUAAGGUACAACAUAGUGAUUUUUGGGGCUGUUGAUGGCUUUUCAAGGAAGAUCUUUUACCUGGAUGUUGCUGGGAAUAACAAAGCCAAAACAGCUUUUGGGUUUUUCAUGGAUGGAGUAGAAAAAAAUGGAUGGCCAUCAAGGUAUGCACAUUAUACAGAUUGAUUUCUCACAAAUUCUUUACAAAAAUGGUCCCACUGAUAAUUAGGGAUCUUAUGACUACAGUUUUAAACAUUUCAUAAGGUAUCCAGAAAAAGAGCCACAUUAUGUUACAAACCUUUUCUUUCAAAGGAACAUGGUUAAUAAAAGAUCUGUAUAAGA